UUAAUUCGAAGCAACGCGCAGAACCUUACCAGGUCUUGACAUGUAGGGAAGCCCGGUGAAAGCCAGGUGUGCCCGCAAGGGAACCCUAACACAGGUGCUGCAUGGUCGUCGUCAGCUCGUGUCGUGAGAUGUUGGGUUAAGUCCCGCAACGAGCGCAACCCUUGUUGCUAGUUGCCAUCAGUCCGGCUGGGCACUCUAGCGAGACUGCCUACGAAAGUAGGAGGAAGGCGGGGAUGACGUCUGAUCCGCAUGGCCCUUACGACCUGGGCGACACACGUGCUACAAUGCCGCGCACAGAGCGACGCUACUUCGCAAGAAGACGCAAAUCGCAUAAAUCGCGGCUCAGUUCGGAUUGGGGUCUGCAACUCGACCCCAUGAAGCUGGAAUCGCUAGUAAUCGUGAAUCAGCCACGUCACGGUGAAUACGUUCCCGGGCCUUGUACACACCGCCCGUCAAGCCAUGGAAGUGGGUUUUGCCUGAAAUCGCCGGGAGCUUGUGCCCUUAUCGGCCCGGCAGGCGCUUAGGGUAAGGCUCAUGACUGGGGCUAAGUCGUAA
rnacentral:rRNA from 1 species